AUAAUAAUAAUAAUAAUAAUAAGACUCCUAGGCAGCAAAGAGUACAAAGAUUACGCCUUAGCAGGACGAAAACUGAGUGAAGAACAUCUCAAUUUAACUCAAUAACUAAGUGUAGGCUAUAUUAGCAUAAUCACAAAACUAAAUUAUGUAAAAUAGAGGCUCACCUCAAUACUACAUUCAGAUAAUUGUUUCCAUCCCCGUUUUCACAAAUAUUAGGAAUGCAACUUAGAACAUAACUAAGCCAAAAACUGAUGGCAAGUCUGUUUAUUUUCAGUGAAGUUCAUAAAAGAUAUAGCUAUUGAAUAAGCCUUAGGUCUAAAAUAAAAAAUCAGAACAUGGCAUUUUAACUCAAAACUGAAGAUGAUCGUAUACAUUAAAAUCAGAAGAACUUAUUCAUAGAGAAGCAGAAGAUGAUCAUGUCUAGUAAAAGUUCAAAAACACUGUUAUUGCUGAACUUGCAUUCUUGCAAGAGCAGCUAGAAGAAGAAGAAGAAGAAAAAG
rnacentral:misc_RNA from 1 species